CCAGUGAUGGAAUUAAGGACGGCACGUUGUCCUUGUAAUGGGGAUCCAGCAGAGUGGCCACCCAGUAAUCAGCACAAGUUAGAAUGUGGGCAACUCGGCAGUCGUUGUGCAGGCACUUUGGUGACUCUAGAGAACCUCAGGCCAAUCGCACGUCCCCGUGACGGCGACGACGCAUUAGGAUGUCUGCCCUAUCAACUUUCAAUGGUACUUUCUACGUCUACCAUGGUGACCACGGGUAUUGGGGAAUCAGGGUUCGAUUCUG